AGCGCCGCUGGCGCCAUCUUGUUCGCCAGUGGAAGGGGUCCUUCCUGGCAGACCUAGGAAGAGCCAGUACGUUAGUUAAGGAAAAGGAAUCCAUAAGUGAUAGUCUAAAACCUUCCAUUUCAGCUUUAGGGGAUGAGCAGUCUUGUUUUUCUUCAAUAAUUUUGCACUAGGGACAUAAUAGAAUACUUUCAUCUUCUGCCUCAAUGAUUUUGCCUCAUGAGAAGUAGUGCAGUCACAGUAGAAUACUUGUAGUAGAAGUAGAAUACUUCUAUCUUUUGUCUCAAAACGUGCAAGGACAUUUUCCUCUGGUUCCACAUACAUUGUUUUUAAAAAGUAGCUCACUGUGGCCUAAUAAGCAAUGGAAAUCUUCCAAACUGGGGAAAAGUGGAUGGAAGUGGGUCAAAGGCUUCAGUGAUGAAGCUGAUGGUGAAAAAAGGGGAAUAAGUAGGUGGGCACUUGAUCACCCUAGAUUCCACUGAGCAUGCCCAAAGGAACAUAAGCACGUAUCUAUGAGACCAUGAAAAAGAGUGAAUGUGUAUGCCAAUGUACUGCAUCUGUAUGUCUUAAUGGUUUAAAUGUAGAAUCUGAACUCUGAGAGGGCACACUUGCUUGUCGAGUCACCUGGUACGUAUCAUGAGGUAUAAAGGAAUGCUGUUUUCUAACACCACAUUGGAGUUUUCUUCCCAGAUUUCAAAUGACAGGGCAUCAUGAGGGUGGGGUAGAAUGGCCACCAUUCUACUACUGCACUUGCAACUUCCAGCUUUCUUACCCUUUCCGUCAUUGGUUUGGGCAUGGAUUAUCACUUUGGCUCACUUCAGCAUUAUUUGUGGAUGCUCUUAGCUAUUACAAGGCUCGUCUGAGCAGUUGAGACCACGUUCACCCAAUUUGUACCUUUACAAGUAUUUUCUAAGCAAACUACUUUAGUAUGAUUGGACGGCUGGAGCACCUCUCCUAUGACGAAAGGCUGAGAGAAUUGGGCUUGUUUAGCUUGGAAAAGGCUCCCAGGAUACCUCACUGCAGCCCUUCAGGACUUGAAGGAGCUUACAGGUAGUCAGGGGACUGACUUCUUACAUGAUCUGAUAGUGACAGGACAAGGGGGAAUGGCUUUAAACUAAAAGAGGGAGGAUUUAAUUUAGAUAUUAGUAAGAAAUUCUUUACUCAGAGGGCCAUGAGGCACAGGCUGCCCAGAGAAGCUGUGGGUGCCCCAUCCCUGGAGGGGAGAUUGACUCAAAGCCAGCUUGGAUGGGGCUCUGGGUAGUCUGAGCUGCUGGGUGGCACUGCCCAUAGCAGGGGAUUGGAGCUUGAUGAUCUUUAAGGUCCUUUUCAACCUAAGCCUAUUCUAUGGAAUUUACAUUAUUUAUGGAAUGUAAAUAAACUCCAUAUCUUUUAUUUCAG
ensembl:lncRNA